rnacentral:rRNA from 1 species
UACGUAGGGUGCGAGCGUUGUCCGGAAUUAUUGGGCGUAAAGAGCUCGUAGGCGGUCUGUCGCGUCGAGUGUGAAAACCCGGGGCUCAACUCCGGGCUUGCAUUCGAUACGGGCAGGCUAGAGUUCGGUAGGGGAGUCUGGAAUUCCUGGUGUAGCGGUGAAAUGCGCAGAUAUCAGGAGGAACACCGGUGGCGAAGGCGGGACUCUGGGCCGAUACUGACGCUGAGGAGCGAAAGCUAGGGGAGCAAACGGG